rnacentral:tRNA from 1 species
ACUUAUAUAGCUUAUAUAGAGCAUAACACUGAAGAUGUUAGUGAAACAGUAUUGUUUAUAAGUA